rnacentral:rRNA from 1 species
GACGAACGCUGGCGGCGUGCUUAACACAUGCAAGUCGAACGCUGAACCCGCUUCGGCGGGGGAUGAGUGGCGGACGGGUGCGUAACACGUGGGCAACCUGCCCCCGGCUCUGGGAUAACUCCAAGAAAUUGGGGCUAAUACCGGAUGUGACCGCUGGCCGCAUGGUCUGGUGGUGGAAAGGGUUUCCGGCUGGGGAUGGGCCCGCGGCCUAUCAGCUUGUUGGUGGGGUAGUGGCCUACCAAGGCGACGACGGGUAGCCGGCCUGAGAGGGUGACCGGCCACACUGGGACUGAGACACGGCCCAGACUCCUACGGGAGGCAGCAGUGGGGAAUAUUGCGCAAUGGGCGGAAGCCCGACGCAGCGACGCCGCGUGGGGGAUGACGGCCUUCGGGUUGUAAACCUCUUUCAGCAGGGACGAAGCGCAAGUGACGGUACCUGCAGAAGAAGCACCGGCCAACUACGUG